GACGAACGCUGGCGGCGUGCUUAACACAUGCAAGUCGAACGAAGUGGCGAACGGGUGAGUAACGCGUAAUCAACCUGCCCUUCAGUGGGGGACAACAGUUGGAAACGACUGCUAAUCCCGCAUAUCGAAGGUGGGGAUUGCGUUUGAUUAGCUAGGUGGAGGGGUAACGGCCCACCAAGGCGAUGCUCAGUAGCUGGUCUGAGAGGAGGAACGGCCACAUUGGGACUGCGACACGGCCCAGACUCCGCCGGGAGGCAGCAGUGGGGAAUCUUCCGCAAUGGACGAAAGUCUGACGGAGCAACGCCGCGUGAGUGAUGACGGCCUUCGGGUUGUAAAUCUCUGUUAAUCGGGACGCGGUACCGGAAUAGAAAGCCACGGCUAACUACGUGCCAGCAGCCGCGGUAAUUC
rnacentral:rRNA from 1 species